GUAGGAAUGAACGAUGCUGGCUGGUGGCAAAAACUUGUGCAUUUAAUUUCCGUUUCCGGUCAGCGAAAGUUGUUCUAAAGAAAACAAAAACAGAGACAGCAUCAACACCUGGCACUGGAGUUCGGACCUCUCUCUGCUGUUCAUUGUUGACAAAGCACAAACAUAAAUAAACUUCGGCACAAUUGCAUAUGAAGACCGGAACGGGGAUUGGGAUGAGCAGGAGUCAACGUCUAGGCCUUAACAUUCGUACAAGUAUGUGUGGAUGCCACGCUGUGCCAAUCUGCGAUCCCAGAUCUCUUCACUAUCUCCACUUUCACACUUCUGUUUAUACAACUGUCGUCCGCUUGGAGUAUUUGUUUGUUUGUUCCGUCUCUGGUCCGGCUGCCACGCCUCUGGGCAAAGCUCUAUUAUUAUUUUCACAAGUUAUAUAAAAAUAAUAACCGAAACGGACUGCUGCUGCUGCCACACAGAACAUGGAGCUGACCACGGCCAUCCAUUAUGCUGCCGGGCAUUUAUUUGCCAAACAAUUGAGGCAAGCAAGCUCGUUGCCGUUGCCCCCGACUGCCGACUGAUGCCUGCUCCUUGCGCAACUUGCAACCACUUCAUCAGGCAUCCAUGUCUGCAGCUAUCUUAUGGUUUAUGAUGGAAUCAAAACAAAUGCUGGAGUAUUCAGACGAGACUACGGCUGCUCCUUCUGCUGAUGCUCUUGGGUGUGGUGUGGGUGAAGUAUAUGUUGAUGGUGAGUUUGUUUAUGCAGAUUGCUUGUAGAGUUUUUCACUUGGCGUUAAUGGAUAAAAUGUUCAUAUGUGUGUGUGGGGAUGUAAUGUAACCCUUUUUGUGGACUUUCAAGCGAGCAUAGCACUGCUCUCGUUACUGUGGAAUCUAGUUUCAGAGGCAAACAAGAUGGAUUUCAUUUACUUUAUUUAUCUUAAUUGAUGGACGGUAUUUUACUCUAACAAAAAUGUGCAAAAUUUACUACUCUAUUGAUUCCGUGGAGAUGAUUUCAAUAAGUUAUAACAGAGAAAGGACUUAGAUUGGGCAUCCCUGAGGCGUGCCAAC
rnacentral:lncRNA from 1 species